rnacentral:rRNA from 1 species
GAUGAGCGCUGGCGGCGUGCCUAAUACAUGCAAGUCGAGCGAACGGACGAGAAGCUUGCUUCUCUGAUGUUAGCGGCGGACGGGUGAGUAACACGUGGAUAACCUACCUAUAAGACUGGGAUAACUUCGGGAAACCGGAGCUAAUACCGGAUGAUAUUUUGAACCGCAUGGUUCAAAAGUGAAAGACGGUCUUGCUGUCACUUAUAGAUGGAACCGCGCUGCAUUAGCUAGUUGGUAAGGUAACGGCUUACCAAGGCAACGAUGCAUAGCCGACCUGAGAGGGUGAUCGGCCACACUGGAACUGAGACACGGUCCAGACUCCUACGGGAGGCAGCAGUAGGGAAUCUUCCGCAAUGGGCGAAAGCCUGACGGAGCAACGCCGCGUGAGUGAUGAAGGUCUUCGGAUCGUAAAACUCUGUUAUUAGGGAAGAACAUAUGUGUAAGUAACUGUGCACAUCUUGACGGUACCUAAUCAGAAAGCAACGGCUAACUACGUG